GCAGCGGUGGCGAAAUUGGUAGACGCGCUAUCUUCAGGCGGUAGUGCUUAUAGCAUGUGAGUUCGAAUCUCAUCCGCUGCA
rnacentral:tRNA from 1 species